AGAUUGGAACUAGCACUUCCCAGAGUGUGGUUGACAUGGAAAAGAAAGAUGCUGAAUAAAGGUCCUAGGAAUCCAGUGGAGGUCCCAUUCAGAGACUGAUAAUAUGCCAUGUAUGGAAGAACAUAUAUACACAGAUGUCUAUCACAGAAUGGCACUGCUUCCUGUCCAAGAGGUGGGGGAACACCCUGCAGAAUACUUUCCAGACCAAUUGCCUGUCAAGACUCCAUGGUCAUCAUUUGAGUUAACCUAAGAAAAGUAUACAUCUGGUCAG